rnacentral:tRNA from 1 species
GGGCCCGUGGUGGAAUGGUUAACACGUUCGCCUCACACGCGAAAGAUUCCCGGUUCGAUCCCGGGCGGGCCCA